rnacentral:rRNA from 1 species
AGAGUUUGAUCCUGGCUCAGAUUGAACGCUGGCGGAAUGCUUUACACAUGCAAGUCGAGCGGCAGCGCGGGGGCAACCCUGGCGGCGAGCGGCGAACGGGUGAGUAAUGUAUCGGAACGUACCCAGUCGUGGGGGAUAACUAUCCGAAAGGAUAGCUAAUACCGCAUACGACCUGAGGGUGAAAGCGGGGGACCGAAAGGCCUCGCGCGAUUGGAGCGGCCGAUAUCGGAUUAGCUAGUUGGUGAGGUAAAGGCUCACCAAGGCGACGAUCCGUAGCUGGUCUGAGAGGACGACCAGCCACACUGGAACUGAGACACGGUCCAGACUCCUACGGGAGGCAGCAGUGGGGAAUUUUGGACAAUGGGGGCAACCCUGAUCCAGCCAUUCCGCGUGAGUGAAGAAGGCCUUCGGGUUGUAAAGCUCUUUCAGCAGGAACGAAACGGUGGUCCUUAAUACGGGCUACUAAUGACGGUNCCUGAAGAAGAAGCACCGGCUAACUACGUGCCAGCAGCCGCGGUAAUACNUAGGGUGCGAGCGUUAAUCGGAAUUACUGGNCGUAAAGCGUG